rnacentral:rRNA from 1 species
CCUACGGGUGGCAGCAGUAGGGAAUUUUGCGCAAUGGGGGAAACCCUGACGCAGCAACGCCGCGUGAACGAUGCAGGUUUUCGGAUUGUAAACUCCUUUAGUUAGAGAGGAUAAUGACGGUAUCCACAGAAGAAGCACCGGCUAACUCCGUGCCAGCAGCCGCGGUAAUACGGAGGGUGCAAGCGUUAUUCGGAAUCAUUGGGCGUAAAGAGCGCGUAGGCGGGAUGGCAAGUCAGAUGUGAAAGGCGCAGGCUAAACCUGAGUAUGGCAUUUGAUACUGGUAAUCUGGAAUAUGGUAGAGGUAGAUGGAAUUCUUGGUGUAGCGGUGAAAUGCGUAGAGAUCAAGAGGAAUA